GGCUUCGUGGUUCCAGUAGUAAAGAACACUUGCCUAUCAUUCCGGAGUCCCGGGUUCGAUCCCCAGCCAAGGAGCCG